AGUGAACGCUGGCGGUAGGCCUAACACAUGCAAGUCGAACGGCAGCACAGUAAGAGCUUGCUCUUACGGGUGGCGAGUGGCGGACGGGUGAGGAAUACAUCGGAAUCUACUUUUUCGUGGGGGAUAACGUAGGGAAACUUACGCUAAUACCGCAUACGACCUACGGGUGAAAGCAGGUGAUCUUCGGACCUUGCGCGAUUGAAUGAGCCGAUGUCGGAUUAGCUAGUUGGCGGGGUAAAGGCCCACCAAGGCGACGAUCCGUAGCUGGUCUGAGAGGAUGGUCAGCCACACUGGAACUGAGACACGGUCCAGACUCCUACGGGAGGCAGCAGUGGGGAAUAUUGGACAAUGGGCGCAAGCCUGAUCCAGCCAUACCGCGUGGGUGAAGAAGGCCUUCGGGUUGUAAAGCCCUUUUGUUGGGAAAGAAAAGCAGCAGGUUAAUACCCCGCUGUUCUGACGGUACCCAAAGAAUAAGCACCGGCUAACUUCGUG
rnacentral:rRNA from 1 species